rnacentral:rRNA from 1 species
UACGUAGGGCGCAAGCGUUAUCCGGAAUUAUUGGGCGUAAAGAGCUCGUAGGCGGUUUGUCGCGUCUGCCGUGAAAGUCCGGGGCUCAACUCCGGAUCUGCGGUGGGUACGGGCAGACUAGAGUGAUGUAGGGGAGACUGGAAUUCCUGGUGUAGCGGUGAAAUGCGCAGAUAUCAGGAGGAACACCGGUGGCGAAGGCGGGUCUCUGGGCCGUAACUGACGCUGAGGAGCGAAAGCGUGGGGAUCAAACAGG